UACGGAGGGGGCAAGCGUUGUUCGGAUUUACUGGGCGUAAAGGGUGUGUAGGCGGUUGCGCAAGUCUGGUGUGAAAUCUUCACCGCUUAACGGGAAGAGGUCACUGGAAACUGCGUAACUCGAGUAUGGUAGAGGCAAGCGGAAUUCCUGGUGUAGCGGUGGAAUGUGUAGAUAUCGGGAAGAACAUCUGUGGCGAAGGCGGCUUGCUGGGCCAUCACUGACGCUGAGACACGAAAGCGUGGGGAGCAAACGGG
rnacentral:rRNA from 1 species